AUGAUUGCUUUUCGUGACACCUUGGAGGUAUGUGGGCUUGUUGAUCUAGGCUUUUCCGGCUUACCAUUUACUUAUGACAACAAGAAGAAAGGAAUGAAGAAUGUCAGAGUGAGGCUUGAUAGAGCGGUGGCGGACAAUACAUGGCGUGACAUUUUCUCGAAAGCACGGGUGGUACACAUGGUAUCACCAUGUUCUGACCAUUCACCUAUUGUUUUGGAAUGUAUAAAAGAAGAAAAUUAAAAUGUCCGGCGAGGUGUUAGGCUAUAUGAGACGUUCUGGGAAAGGGACGCAAGCCUACCAGAGAGAGUUGCGGCAGCCUGGGCACAAGCUGGACGCAAGUUUAGCCUUGGGGACGUGCAUGCAGGACUAGCAAAGCUGAUGAGUGAUCUGCAUGCAUGGAGCAAAAAGACCUUUGGCAACAUCACACGUCAGCUGGAGCGUUCUAGGUGCCGGUUGGAAGAACUGAUGCACAUGAAUGCAGACCGUAAUGAAAUUCGCAAGGUAUCUGACCAUAUGGAGGAAUUGCUAUAUCGCGAGGAAAUGUUGUGGAUGCAAAGAAGCAGGAUUGAUUGGCUCCGCGAGAGGGUGAUAGAAACACACGAUUUUUUCAGCGUCGCGCGGUUUGGCGUGCACGCAAGAAUAGAGUAA
rnacentral:rRNA from 1 species